rnacentral:rRNA from 1 species
UACGGGGGGGGCAAGCGUUGUUCGGAAUUACUGGGCGUAAAGGGCUCGUAGGUGGCCAACUAAGUCAGACGUGAAACCCCUCGGCUUAACCGGGGAACUGCGUCUGAUACUGGAUGGCUUGAGUUUGGGAGAGGGAUGCGGAAUUCCAGGUGUAGCGGUGAAAUGCGUAGAUAUCUGGAGGAACACCGGUGGCGAAGGCGGCAUCCUGGACCAACACUGACACUGAGGAGCGAAAGCCAGGGGAGCAAACAGG